GGGAACAUAUUUUAGGCGCCCUAAUUUAGGUGUCCAGAUUUCAGUCCUUUUCCUCUGUUUCUCUCUUGCAAAGACAACUUCACCUCCUCACUUCAUCAAAGUCUCUCACCACACGUCCGUCGCACAUCGCCGCUACCGCAAAUCACCAUCGCCACCGCCGCAGUACAAAUAGGGGCCAGAGAGUUGAACUGGGUUUGAGAAAAAAAAAGGGUGGUGUUUUAUUGGCAAGAGGAUGUUGCUGAAGUUCUUUUGACCUGGUUUGGUUUUAAAAACCCUCUAAUUUUCUUUCUGUAAUAAUUAUUUUUGUCUUGUUCCAGAACAUCUCAGUUUGAUUCGUUUGGUUGGUGGAAUUAAUGGGGAAGGCCAUCCACUCUAGUGCACUGUGAGUAGUAGUCGGGAAGGUCAGUCCUACUUCUGAAAUUGUUUUGCAGAUUUGGUCUUGAGUAUGACCUGGAUCUUUUCAAUAUUGUUGUUGUUCCAGAUUUUAACAUGAUAUUGCGGUUGCUGAUUUUGCUCCAACUCACCCCAUAAGGUUGGGUCUGGCACUCAACUUCUCGAUUUUCUACUAUGAGAUUCUAAAUGCAUCAGAGAAAGCUUGUAGCAUGGCUAAAUAGAUGAUUUUUGGCAUGGAAUUGUAGAUAUUCCUUUUUUGUUCUUUCUUUCUCUAGGGUUCUAUGAGAUCGUAUCUGGGGGGACAAAUAUCUAAUCAAGGUGCUCAGUCCGCCAGAUCGGAGCUAGGAGCGUGGGUUAGACUCCAGUUUUGUCAAGCCAGCCUUUGUGCCUCACUGAGAGUUUUUCUUGACAAAGCACUGAAGGAACUGGAGGUUAGGUGACCCUAAGUUUUUGCUGGUUUGGGUGAUCCUGAGUUUCUUGACAAAGCACUAUGAAUCAUUUGCCUUUCACUUCCCUUUCAAAUUCUAAUGGUAUUUUUUGCAGGCCAUUGAUUUAGGUGAACCAUACCAUGCACUUCAUUUACAAUAACAUGUUGUCUAUUUGAUCACAAUAAUUUGCAAAAUUGCUUUUGCGUGGGCUCUUGUGGAUAUUUAUUUUUGUGUACGAAGAGCGUUUGUUCUGUAUAUGGAAAACAUUUAUUUUUGUACAAUUCUUUGUUUUGGAAAUCCAUUGUUUUUGUAUGUAAUAUUUAAUUUAGAUAGAUUAUACUUGGUUGGUGUUGAUGUAGAUUUAUAUGAUAAUGAAAUGAGUAAUAUUAUUUAUAAUGGA